GAUGAACGCUAGCGGCAGGCUUAAUACAUGCAAGUCGAGGGGCAGCACGGGGGCAACCCUGGUGGCGACCGGCAAACGGGUGCGGAACACGUACGCAACCUUCCCAUAACUGGUGAAUAGCCUUUCGAAAGAGAGAUUAAUACACCGUAACAUAAUGAAGAGGCAUCUCUUUAUUAUUAUAGACUUCGGUCGGUUUUGGAUGGGCGUGCGCCUGAUUAGGUAGUUGGCGGGGUAACGGCCCACCAAGCCUGCGAUCAGUAACUGGUGUGAGAGCACGACCAGUCACACGGGCACUGAGACACGGGCCCGACUCCUACGGGAGGCAGCAGUAAGGAAUAUUGGUCAAUGGACGACAAGUCU
rnacentral:rRNA from 1 species